CUUAACAUAAUCAUGAUUGUCUAAGAAAAGAAAAGAAUCUCUCUUUUACGCAUUUCCAGAUUGUCCGUCAGUCAGGGAAAUCUACUUCCAUUUUCUUUUAAAUUUUCGUAACUGAUGAUAUUGUUUGUUCGUUUUGCAGAACUCCAAUAAUUUUCCACAUAAUAACAACCCAAGGUGCCAGCAGUAGCUGCAAUGGUAACCGGCGACAAGACUGCAUUUUGCCAAUGUGGCUUUGCAGGGGUGCAAAACACACUAUUAGUGAGAGAAAUCACUGGUUGUAGCUUUGAAACACUCAGAAGGGAUAAAACACAAAGUUUUAUUUCAAGAACAAAAGCUUACAGAAGCAAAAAAAUAACACAAAAGCUUAAUACACGCCCUCUCUCUUUCUUUCUAGUAUUUCUCUCUAAUCUCUCCACACAUAAUAGCAUAAGCUCAGCUUGCUAUUUAUACACGAAUUCAAAACAAGAAAAUUCAACCUUCAAGUGUGAAGGCGGCUGGCGGCUAUGGCGGUUGUGGCGGCAAACAGCUGGUGGCUGGCGGCUGAGCGGUUGGUGGCUGGACGGUGACAGCUGGUAGCUACCUUCCUUGACCUUCUAGAUGGAUUGAGUUUAAUACAACAAAAACACUGUUGGAUGAUGGAGGCAGGCAUUACUUCAAGCGUUGCAGCAUACAGGGUGCUGUUGAUUUCAUCUUUGAUUGCUCUAUACAAGCACUUGGAGGGUUUAUUCCAGCACAAGGAAGAACGAAUCCAAAUGAUGCAAAUGGGUUUCUGUUCAAGGGAUGCAAUGUUAUAUUCUAGGGUCUUAUUCCGCCUGGAACUUGUUGGCCAUGAGCACGCUUUCUAAGCUCACAAAUCAUAUCUAUCGACCCAGCUUGGUUCCUGUAUAAAUUAAACAAAUAUGCCUUAAUUAUGUUGUUAGGGAUGGAAAUGUGUUUAAUUAGUGGCUUCUAUGUUCACAUAAUUUAGAUGCAAGCA